rnacentral:rRNA from 1 species
GAUGAACGCUGGCGGCGUGCCUAAUACAUGCAAGUCGAGCGAACAGACGAGGAUCUUUCUCCUCUUAUGUUAGCGGCGGACGGGUGAGUAACACGUGUAUAACCUACCUAUAAGACUGGGAUAACUUCGGGAAACCGGAUCUAAUACCGGAUAACAUGUUGAACCGCAUGGUUCAACAGUGAAAGACGGUCUUGCUGUCACUUAUAGAUGGAUCCGCGCCGCAUUAGCUAGUUGGUACGGUAACGGCUUACCAAGGCAACGAUGCGUAGCCGACCUGAGAGGGUGAUCGGCCACACUGGAACUGAGACACGGUCCAGACUCCUACGGGAGGCAGCAGUAGGGAAUCUUCGGCAAUGGGCGAAAGCCUGACGGAGCAACGCCGCGUGAGUGAAGAAGGUCUUCGGAUCGUAAAACUCUGUUAUUAGGGAAGAACAAAUGUGUGAGUAACUAUGCACGUCUUGACGGUACCUAAUCAGAAAGCCACGGCUAACUACGUG